UAAGGGUUCCUGGGUCAAGCUGAUCUGCCCAGGGUAAGUCGGGACCUAAGGCGAGGCCGACAGGCGUAGUCGAUGGACAACCGGUUGAUAUUCCGGUACCCGCUUUGAAACGCCCAAUAUCGAAUCAGGCGAUGCUAAGUCCCGUGAAGCCGUUCCGGACCCUUCGGGGAAAGGAGAAUUGUGGAGCCGACGACCCAGACUUGUAGUAGGUAAGCGAUGGGGUGACGCAGGAAGGUAGUCCAGCCCGGGCGGUGGUAGUCCCGGGGUAAGGGUGUAGGCCGUGUGAUAGGCAAAUCCGUCACACGUUAAGGCUGAGACCUGAUGCCGAGCCGAUUGUGGUGAAGUGGAUGAUCCUAUGCUGUCGAGAAAAGCCUCUAGCGAGUUUCAUGGCGGCCCGUACCCUAAACCGACUCAGGUGGUCAGGUAGAGAAUACCGAGGCGUUCGGGUGAACUAUGGUUAAGGAAUCGGCAAAAUGCCCCCGUAACUUCGGGAGAAGGGGGGCCAUGUCUGGUGAUCGGAUUUACUCCGUGAGCUGGGUGUGGCCGCAGAGACCAGCGAGAAGCGACUGUUUACUAAAAACACAGGUCCGUGCGAAGCCGUAAGGCGAUGUAUACGGACUGACGCCUGCCCGGUGCUGGAACGUUAAGGGGACCGGUUAGC
rnacentral:rRNA from 1 species